AUUGAACGCUGGCGGCAUGCUUUACACAUGCAAGUCGAACGGCAGCGCGGGCUUCGGCCUGGCGGCGAGUGGCGAACGGGUGAGUAAUGCAUCGGAACGUGCCCAGUAGUGGGGGAUAGCACGGCGAAAGCCGGAUUAAUACCGCAUACGACCUGAGGGUGAAAGCGGGGGACCGAAAGGCCUCGCGCUAUUGGAGCGGCCGAUGUCGGAUUAGCUAGUUGGUGGGGUAAAGGCUUACCAAGGCGACGAUCCGUAGCUGGUCUGAGAGGACGACCAGCCACACUGGGACUGAGACACGGCCCAGACUCCUACGGGAGGCAGCAGUGGGGAAUUUUGGACAAAGGGGGCAACCCUGAUCCAGCCAUGCCGCGUGCGGGAAGAAGGCCUUCGGGUUGUAAACCGCUUUUGUUCGGGAAGAAAUCCUCUGGGCUAAUACCCCGGGGGGAUGACGGUACCGGAAGAAUAAGCACCGGCUAACUACGUG
rnacentral:rRNA from 1 species